UAGAGCAGUCCAAUCCUCAGCUUUUCCUGAAGCCUCUGUCCUCUGUCCCCCCUCGCAGGCCUGCUGGGAUGUAGGGUGGCAUCAAUCCAGGACUUUCUCCAUGGCGAGAGCAGUGAAGACAGACCCAACAUUCUCUCAUCCAUGCUGCUGGAAACGUAACCCAGGGUUGGUGUCAAAAGGCACAAGGCUAUCUAAUGGGGCACUGAGGACCUGAGGGCAUUAUGCUACAAGGAGGCGGGAUGCAGAAAGGACACAAGGAGCUGGGCCGUUGCUCUGCCCAGCACCACAGAGCUGCUCAGACUACAGGUCACAGCUUCGUAGCCUCUUGAGGUCGGACUGGAGGUUUCCUUUCUGCAUCAUCUGUUUCCGUGAAUGCUCGUCUCCUUAAAUGUAACAGGACAGCGUUCUCAUCAGUCAGAGGACUUGCAAGCAAAAGGACACCAAGAUACAGACCAUCCAGGGUGCAAAU